rnacentral:lncRNA from 1 species
CUCCUAUUUUCAAUACCCUGUAAGCUUCCUUGAUCCCACGCUGUGGGUCCGGCCAGUACUCAAUACUGAGGAACGCAAAAAGAAAGCCACAUAUAAUAUCAGAGACAAACCUUACAAAGAACCUAGAUUGAACAUGCACCAAUAUAUAAUUGAACAUCUAAAAAACUAAAAAUAUGAAAAGAAUGCCAUUGUUUAAUGUAACAAAUCUCUAAAGCUAUAUUCCUCAAUUUCCCAUUCAAAGCGUACAAAUGACUAUCACUACCAAAAGUGCUCUAAAAGGAACCCAAUUUUACAAUUCUCCAAAAACUGCUUAUAGACAUAAAGAUUAUUUUGCAUAACUGAAAAAAUUAUGGGAAAUUUUUAAUAUAAGAACGGUAAAGGGAGAUA